rnacentral:rRNA from 1 species
GCCUUUGGCCAGACUGGACUGAUUGCACCCGAUCCCGUCCAAUCUUGGAAGCUAAGCAGUCCCAGACCCAGCUAAUAACCGGAUGGGAGGCCACCUGGCCUUUGGACGGAUGAGAAUA